AUGUCUUCCUCAAGCUCCCGUGCCACCUCGCGGAUGCAGAGCCGGGCGCGGGUGGACAUGGCUGUCUUCAUUUGUCCGCGGUGCCGGGGCAUUGAACGGAGGGUUUAUCACACACCGAGAAACCAGAAUAUUCUGUUCUACGUGUACAGCGAGAAUGGGGUGAAAUGCUAUUUUCUUUGGUUCGAUGCUCUAGCCAAGACUCUGAUGAAUGAACUGCAAGAAGAGCAUGAAGAAUGGUUGUGCAUGCUGGCAUGAACGACAGUGGCUGCAGCACGAGCUCUGGAAGAAGAGAUGGAGGGCGAAGCACGCACUGACGGAGAGCUAGUUGUUGAGCUUAGGAUGUUGAAGAAGAAGGUUAGUAAGCUUGAAGAUCAAGCACAAAUACCAAUACCCAUUUGCAAUUACUUUUGGGCAUUUGUAGGUAUGGUAAUCACACUGGUUGUAAUGUUGAAAUUGUAUGGAAAGGCAUGA
rnacentral:rRNA from 1 species